UCCCUGGUGGCUCAGAGGGUAAAGCGUCUGCCUGCAAUGUAGGAGACCCAGGUUCGAUCCCUGGGUUGGAAA
rnacentral:tRNA from 1 species